rnacentral:rRNA from 1 species
UUCUGUAAGCCUGUGAAGGUGUGUCGUGAGGCAUGCUGGAGGUAUCAGAAGUGCGAAUGCUGACAUAAGUAACGAUAAAGCGGGUGAAAAGCCCGCUCGCCGGAAGACCAAGGGUUCCUGUCCAACGUUAAUCGGGGCAGGGUGAGUCGACCCCUAAGGCGAGGCCGAAAGGCGUAGUCGAUGGGAAACGGGUUAAUAUUCCCGUACUUGGUGUUACUGCGAAGGGGGGACGGAGAAGGCUAUGUUGGCCGGGCGACGGUUGUCCCGGUUUAAGCGUGUAGGUGUGUGUUCCAGGUAAAUCCGGUUCACUUUAACACUGAGGCGUGAUGACGAGGCACUACGGUGCUGAAGCAACAAAUGCCCUGCUUCCAGGAAAAGCCUCUAAGCAUCAGGUAACAUCAAAUCGUACCCCAAACCGACACAGGUGGUCAGGUAGAGAAUACCAAGGCGCUUGAGAGAACUCGGGUGAAGGAACUAGGCAAAAUGGUGCCGUAACUUCGGGAGAAGGCACGCUGACACGUAGGUGAAGUGAUUUACUCAUGGAGCUGAAGUCAGUCGAAGAUACCAGCUGGCUGCAACUGUUUAUUAAAAACACAGCACUGUGCAAACACGAAAGUGGACGUAUACGGUGUGACGCCUGCCCGGUGCCGGAAGGUUAAUUGAUGGGGUCAGCGCAAGCGAAGCUCCUGAUCGAAGCCCCGGUAAACGGCGGCCGUAACUAUAACGGUCCUAAGGUAGCGAAAUUCCUUGUCGGGUAAGUUCCGACCUGCACGAAUGGCGUAAUGAUGGCCAGGCUGUCUCCACCCGAGACUCAGUGAAAUUGAACUCGCUGUGAAGAUGCAGUGUACCCGCGGCAAGACGGAAAGACCCCGUGAACCUUUACUAUAGCUUGACACUGAACAUUGAGCCUUGAUGUGUAGGAUAGGUGGGAGGCUUUGAAGCGUGGACGCCAGUCUGCGUGGAGCCGACCUUGAAAUACCACCCUUUAAUGUUUGAUGUUCUAACGUGGACCCGU